rnacentral:sRNA from 1 species
AGCAACCGUGGGACAGCCUAAUGGAUGACUGUGGUGAGCUUUAGGCCACUUCGGGGGCAACAUCAAGCAGAGGAAGUACCUGGAAUAUUGAGUGUGUCACCAGAGGAGACCCAGAGACCUGGGGUUUACACAGAGGAGACAUUUAGGCCAAUUCUAAGUGACAGAUUUGCUUUCUGUAAGAUAUGACUGACAGGCAAAUGGAAUCGAGUCUCGAAUGAGAAAUUUGAGCUCCCUGGAGAUACAGUUCUGGUCCUCAGCCUAAUGCGAUAUUGGAGUCAUGUCAGCAACUGUAUGCAAGGAGUACACCUCCAUUACAGAAAGGAUGCUUCAGCCACCCACAUGCAAACCCCGCCAUUCCCAUUCCUGGCGGACAACGUGCAAUAUUUGAAAAUAUUACAGAACACUCUUGUGAUAAAAUGUCAGCUAACUCCAAAUCAAUAUUCAAAAAACAUUUAUCACUACCCUUGUAUGAAUACAAAAUGAGGUAGAAAAGGA